rnacentral:lncRNA from 12 species
UCCCAGACAGAAAAGAAAGUGGAAAAAAUAUGUCAGUUGAUUAUUUUCCUUAAAAAAAAUCUUAGAUCACUGAUUUGAGGUUUCUCUUUAAAGUUUGAAAAGUUUAUGACAGACCACAGCUCAUGAUGGGGACAAUCCUGAGGAUAUACGAAAAGCAUUUCCCAUGCAGGAAGAAGAAAAUAUUCUAAAGAAGAGAUAAGAGUGUGCCAUGAAAUCAAAAAGUUAGCUGAUAGCUGUGAUUGGCCAUUGAGAAGAGGGAGGAGUAAUGACUUCAAUGACCCCAGAAGAUUCCAGAGCAGAGAACAGCAGCAGUCUGGCUUUGUUCUUUGGUACCAAGUGCCCCCGUCAACCACUGCAGUAAGUACUCGUCUGCCUUUGGGCCCUAUUAGCCCACACAGUAAACCCCGCUGGAAAGUAGGGCUGAGCUGUGAGUGCUAUUGGUACUGUCUCCAUUCUAUGCUGGUUCUUUUAGACUUUGUGUUUCUAUGGGGUCUACUCGUUGGUUUCCACUUUGAUUUCUCCAAUAUUGAAGAUAUAUUAUAUUGGCUUCUCUCCAGCUCUCAGAAUGCUCUCUUCUUUAGUUCUAUUCCUAUGAUCACUUGCUGUCCACUUGGCCAGCUACCCAUAUUGUCAUGAAAGGAGAGUGUCACAGUAGGUAAUAUCACAUCAGACUACAAACCUGGUACAAACUGGACCUUUAACUCAUUCUUACCCUUCCCAUACCCAUCACAUACUGUAUCACAUGCAAGGCUUAUUCUGGGCAUGACUGGGGGUAGGAAGAUUGUUAUGCAUCUGAUGUCCUCUCCAGUAGGCCUUCGGUAAUGACAUGAAAAAUGUCACACCAG